AGCUUUGUGCAGUGGCAGUGGCAUAGCCAAUGAGAUUUAUCUGAGGUGCGAUUAUUGCUAAUUAAAAACUUUUCCCAAUACCCCGCCAUGAUGACUUGAAAUAUAGUUGGCAUUGGUAAACUUUGAUAGUCUCUAUGGAGA
rnacentral:snRNA from 1 species